rnacentral:sRNA from 1 species
UUUUAGCCCCGAUUGCAGUGGAAAUCCUUUGAUGCCGGGGUUCGGCAGCAAAGAUUGUAGCGGAAAGCGGGACGACUC